GACAGGUGGCGGAAUAGGUAGACGCUUAUAGUUUUAAAUUUUAACCAUGUAAGGUGCAAAUCCUUGCCCUGUCA
rnacentral:tRNA from 1 species